rnacentral:rRNA from 1 species
ACUUCUUUAUCACCGAGUGCUUGCACUCACCGGUAAAGGGUUGAGUGGCGAACGGGUGAGUAACACGUGGGCAACCUGCCCAAAAGAGGGGGAUAACACUUGGAAACAGGUGCUAAUACCGCAUAACCAUAGUUACCGCAUGGUAGCUAUGUAAAAGGUGGCUAUGCUACCGCUUUUGGAUGGGCCCGCGGCGCAUUAGCUAGUUGGUGGGGUAAAGGCUUACCAAGGCAAUGAUGCGUAGCCGAACUGAGAGGUUGAUCGGCCACAUUGGGACUGAGACACGGCCCAAACUCCUACGGGAGGCAGCAGUAGGGAAUCUUCCACAAUGGGCGAAAGCCUGAUGGAGCAACGCCGCGUGGGUGAAGAAGGUCUUCGGAUCGUAAAACCCUGUUGUUAGAGAAGAAAGUGCGUGAGAGUAACUGUUCACGUUUCGACGGUAUCUAACCAGAAAGCCACGGCUAACUACGUGCCAGCAGCCGGGUAAUACGUAGGUGGCAAGCGUUAUCCGGAUUUAUUGGGCGUAAAGGGAACGCAGGCGGUCUUUUAAGUCUGAUGUGAAAGCCUUCGGCUUAACCGGAGUAGUGCAUUGGAAACUGGGAGACUUGAGUGCAGAAGAGGAGAGUGGAACUCCAUGUGUAGCGGUGAAAUGCGUAGAUAUAUGGAAGAACACCAGUGGCGAAAGCGGCUCUCUGGUCUGUAACUGACGCUGAGGUUCGAAAGCGUGGGUAGCAAACAGGAUUAGAUACCCUGGUAGUCCACGCCGUAAA